UUCUUUUCUUCUUUCGUUCUUCUUCACUCGACUGAGUCUUCCCAGAAACGGAAAACCAAAGCCUAAAACCUAUCGAAGUCCCACCAUCACCUUCUAGUUUUACUUCUUCUUCUUCUUCUAGUUUGAUAAGUAACAAACCUAUCGAAGUCCUAAUCACUAAUCAGUCGAACGAAGCUGGAGUAGAACUGUAGAAGAAACCGAAAAUUGAAAAAGAUGAUUAAGUUAAGAGCAACAAAUAGAAACAAGAGAAAAGGAAUAAAAGAGUGUUUCACAACCUUGGGUAAUUCAUAUGUCAUUUUGAUUGUUGGAAUUAUGAUCAAAUAGAAGCAGCCUUAGUCAAGCUCUUGAAAGCACACAGGUUACCAUUACAAGUUUACAACCUCCGGUGGAAUACCAUUACAACCUCCUGUGGAAUGAGAUCUCUAUGUUGAUUUUCCAUCUCAUUUUUGAUUUUCACCAUUACAA